CCUACGGGAGGCAGCAGUGGGGAAUAUUGCACAAUGGGCGAAAGCCUGAUGGAGCAACGCCGCGUGCAGGAUGAAGGCCUUCGGGUUGUAAACUGCUUUUAUAAGCGAGGAAUAUGAUGGUAACUUAUGAAUAAGGAUCGGCUAACUACGUGCCAGCAGCCGCGGUCAUACGUAGGAUCCGAGCAUUAUCCGGAGUGACUGGGUGUAAAGAGUUGCGUAGGUGGAAUAAUAAGUAGCUAGUGAAAUCUGGUGGCUCAACCAUUCAGACUAUUAGCUAAACUGUUAAGCUCGAGACCGUUAGGGGUAACUGGAAUUUCUAGUGUAGGAGUGAAAUCCGUAGAUAUUAGAAGGAACACCAAUAGCGUAGGCAGGUUGCUGGGACGGUUCUGACACUAAGGCACGAAAGCGUAGGGAGCAAACGGGAUUAGAUACCCGAGUAGUC
rnacentral:rRNA from 1 species